AUGCCAUGAUGAGGGCAUUUCCUAAGCAACUCCUUAAACCUUGUAAACACCUCAUGGAAUGCUUCCCCUGAAUGUUGCUGGAAUGCUCUUAUUGCAUCCUGAGCUU
rfam:Helianthus annuus linkage group 10, whole genome shotgun sequence.